rnacentral:rRNA from 1 species
UACAUGGGGUGCAAACGUUGCUCGGAAUCAUUGGGCGUAAAGCGCGCGUAGGCGGCCCGGUAAGUCCGUUGUAAAAGUCGAAGGCUCAACCUUCGAAAGCCGAUGGAUACUGCCGGGCUAGAGUCCGGAAGAGGCGAGUGGAAUUCCUGGUGUAGCGGUGGAAUGCGCAGAUAUCAGGAGGAACACCCAUAGCGAAGGCAGCUCGCUGGGACGGUACUGACGCUGAGGCGCGAAAGCGUGGGGAGCGAACAGG